rnacentral:rRNA from 1 species
GGAAAGGAUAACCACUGAAAGCAUCUAAGUGGGAAGCCCCCUUCAAGAUAAGGUAUCUAUUAAGAGUCGUUCUAGACUAGGACGUUGAUAGGCCAGAUGUGUAAGCACAGUAAUGUGUUCAGCUGACUGGUACUAAAUACUCGUUUUGCUUUAUUUUUA